GAUUGAACGCUGGCGGCAGGCCUAACACAUGCAAGUCGAACGGUAACAGGAAGAAGCUUGCUUCUUCGCUGACGAGUGGCGGACGGGUGAGUAAUGUCUGGGAAACUGCCUGAUGGAGGGGGAUAACUACUGGAAACGGUAGCUAAUACCGCAUAACGUCGCAAGACCAAAGAGGGGGACCUUCGGGCCUCUUGCCAUCGGAUGUGCCCAGAUGGGAUUAGCUAGUAGGUGGGGUAACGGCUCACCUAGGCGACGAUCCCUAGCUGGUCUGAGAGGAUGACCAGCCACACUGGAACUGAGACACGGUCCAGACUCCUACGGGAGGCAGCAGUGGGGAAUAUUGCACAAUGGGCGCAAGCCUGAUGCAGCCAUGCCGCGUGUAUGAAGAAGGCCUUCGGGUUGUAAAGUACUUUCAGCGGGGAGGAAGGGAGUAAAGUUAAUACCUUUGCUCAUUGACGUUACCCGCAGAAGAAGCACCGGCUA
rnacentral:rRNA from 1 species